GAUGAACGCUGGCGGCGUGCCUAAUACAUGCAAGUCGAGCGAACGGACGAGAAGCUUGCUUCUCUGAUGUUAGCGGCGGACGGGUGAGUAACACGUGGAUAACCUACCUAUAAGACUGGGAUAACUUCGGGAAACCGGAGCUAAUACCGGAUAAUAUUUUGAACCGCAUGGUUCAAAAGUGAAAGACGGUCUUGCUGUCACUUAUAGAUGGAUCCGCGCUGCAUUAGCUAGUUGGUAAGGUAACGGCUUACCAAGGCAACGAUGCACAGCCGACCUGAGAGGGUGAUCGGCCACACUGGAACUGAGACACGGUCCAGACUCCUACGGGAGGCAGCAGUAGGGAAUCUUCCGCAAUGGGCGAAAGCCUGACGGAGCAACGCCGCGUGAGUGAUGAAGGUCUUCGGAUCGUAAAACUCUGUUAUUAGGGAAGAACAUAUGUGUAAGUAACUGUGCACAUCUUGACGGUACCUAAUCAGAAAGCCACGGCUAACUACGUGCCAGCAGCCGCGGUAAUACGUAGGUGGCAAGCGUUAUCCGGAAUUAUUGGGCGUAAAGCGCGCGUAGGCGGUUUUUUAGUCUGAUGUGAAAGCCCACGGCUCAACCGUGGAGGGUCAUUGGAAACUGGAAAACUUGAGUGCAGAAGAGGAAAGUGGAAUUCCAUGUGUAGCGGUGAAAUGCGCAGAGAUAUGGAGGAACACCAGUGGCGAAGGCGACUUUCUGGUCUGUAACUGACGCUGAUGUGCGAAAGCGUGGGGAUCAAACAGGAUUAGAUACCCUGGUAGUCCACGCCGUAGACGAUGAGUGCUAAGUGUUAGGGGGUUUCCGCCCCUUAGUGCUGCAGCUAACGCAUUAAGCACUCCGCCUGGGGAGUACGACCGCAAGGUUGAAACUCAAAGGAAUUGACGGGGACCCGCACAAGCGGUGGAGCAUGUGGUUUAAUUCGAAGCAACGCGAAGAACCUUACCAAAUCUUGACAUCCUUUGACAACUCUAGAGAUAGAGCCUUCCCCUUCGGGGGACAAAGUGACAGGUGGUGCAUGGUUGUCGUCAGCUCGUGUCGUGAGAUGUUGGGUUAAGUCCCGCAACGAGCGCAACCCUUAAGCUUAGUUGCCAUCAUUAAGUUGGGCACUCUAAGUUGACUGCCGGUGACAAACCGGAGGAAGGUGGGGAUGACGUCAAAUCAUCAUGCCCCUUAUGAUUUGGGCUACACACGUGCUACAAUGGACAAUACAAAGGGCAGCGAAACCGCGAGGUCAAGCAAAUCCCAUAAAGUUGUUCUCAGUUCGGAUUGUAGUCUGCAACUCGACUACAUGAAGCUGGAAUCGCUAGUAAUCGUAGAUCAGCAUGCUACGGUGAAUACGUUCCCGGGUCU
rnacentral:rRNA from 1 species